UCUACUAUCCGCCAUGGAGACAAACAGCCAAGGACAACCACCUGGAUUUCAUAUCAUCUCUUCCUCCUCCUCCCUGUAAGUAGUGUCCCAAGGCCAAGUGCAGGCUGGUGGGAAAGCUUUGACCAGCAAGGGCCCUGACUCCCCCCUGCCAUCUACAAACAGCUACAUUCCUCACAAACCUCUAAAACCCCUUGCCUCCCCUCUUUUGGGGACAUAUGAAACGAGACAAAUUUGAAGGCUUGCUCUCAUCUCCUGGCUGAUAUCACCUGAAAUAAAAACCCUUUCCUUGCCAUAAGCCUGGUAUUCUAGUUUUUAUUUGGCCCCUCUUGUGUCGUGGGUAAAGAACCUAUGUUUGUAGGUGGUAACAGAAGGAAUGUGUCUGCAUCACCAUUUUGGCCUUAGCUCAUUUCUAAAGAAAGGGGUGAGAUAUUGAUGGAUAUUUCCUGAAAAAGCAAGACAUUAGAAGAAAAUACCUACAAGCCUCUCCAACAGGACUGACCCAGGUAGGGUAUGAAAGAGCUUUUCUAGGGAUCUGGACUUCUUCUGCAUGCCCAGAAGUACUAGAGAAACAAGUCACUACACCUUUUCCCACUUUCCUCAUAAUCUCCCUCAGCUGCCUGGCUGCCUUUGCAUCAGAGGAGGUAGAUGAUUAUGUACCCUAGACUCUCCAAAAACACUGCGGGCUCACUGAGGUCCUGGAUGUAGGGAGAGAAUGGGAACUAAAAUUGCUCAGAACCUACUCGUACUUGACAUUGCACAAGCCACACACCUUUCCAUUUAAUUCACAAAAACACCUCAGGAAGUAGAUGCAAUUAUUCUCAUUUUACAGAUGGGGAAACUGAGACUGAAAGAAGUGAAAUGAAUUGCCUGAGAUUACACAGGUACUUAGGUGGUACAGUCAGGAUCUGCAUUUGAUACUAUCCAACUCGAACAUCCAUAUUCUUUCCACCACACUGGUACCACCAGGCAAGCUUGGUGUACUGUAAAGAUGCAACAAUAAAUGCUUGAUUAUGAAGAUGAAGAAAAGUGCUUUGAAAAGAAUAAAGCUAUUAUUGAAAUGUGAGGUAUUAAUGAUUAUAGAUGUGUCCUACUUUUGAAAUAUGUUAAACAAAGUCAUUAUUUACAUUACGUUACAUUAUUUACAUUACAGUCAUUAUUUACAUUUACAAAGUCAUUAUUUACAUUAUUUACAUUACAUUAUUUACAUGACUUCUUUAAAUAGGAUCUGCUCUAUAUAAAAAGACUGUGUUUACAGAUAUUGGCUUCUUAAUAAUAAUCACCACAAACACUACCUCUAAAUUUGAUGAGUGCUAGGUACUGUGCUUAAAUAUAUAUUUCCUAACAAUAAUACUUGAGUAAGGCUUGUUAUUCUCACAAUAGUAAACAACAAUGGUAGCCCAAAUGUACACAGUGCUUAUUAUGUGCCUGUUCUAAGCCAUGUUUCUCGAAAUUGGCACUAUUGACAUUUUGGACCAGAUAAUUCUUUGUUGUGGAGGGCUGUCCUGUGCAUAGCAGGAUCACACUAGCAUCUCUUGCCUCUACCCAGUAGGUGUUGGAACCACUCCCUGCUUCCCCAGUUGUGACAACCAAACAGUCUCCAGACAUGUCAAAUAUGUCCUGGAGGUGGGGGAAAAAAACUCACACCCUGCCUUCUAACCCUUUACAUAAAUUGUUUUAAAUCUCACAACAACCUACUAGGCAGGUUAUUAUCUCUGAUUCACAAAUGAAGAAAUCGUAGCCCGGGGAACUUAAGUCAUUUGCCUCAGGUAGCGUGGCAAGUAACUGGUGGAGCUGAGAUUCAAACCCAGCAGUUCAGCUCUAGAGUCUGUGCUCUAAACAGAUAGAUUAUUCUGCCUCUCAGUUUACAGAUGAGGAAACAGAAGCAGAGCUCAAGAUGUCCAAGAUGGUAGAGCUAAUAAGUGGAGAGAGCAGGAUUCAAAUUCAGGUCUGAGUGACUUCAAAGUCUGUAUUCUAAAAUACUAUACCAAUUGUCAUCAGACAAUUACCUUGGGCACUCAUUAAAGAUGUAGAUUUGCGGCUCCCACCUCUGGGACUGAUUUUACAGCUCUGGGCUAUGGCCCAGGAAUCUGCAUUUAUACAAACACCUAGGUGAUUCUGAUGCAGUUGGUCCUAGGUCCACACUUUGAGAAACUAUUUUUCACUGCCUCCCUCCCCACAGAGAGAACAGGGUAGUAAGUAUAAAUGGAGCAAAGUGUAAAAAGUGAGUAGGAAAAUUUUAAGGGGCAUCAUUGCUCAGAAGUGAAAUAGCUGAAAAGGGGAAAUAAAAUAAUUUAAGUAGUCAGAGAUGAGAGAUUCAUAAUGGUGCUUUGGGACCAAUCCUUACCUUCAGAGGUUUAUUCUUAGAAUACAAUUACACAAACUCACAAAAUGUUAGGAAAUAAGGAUUUGGCCUAGUAUGACAUUUGUGAAAACUAAUAAACAGAAACCUCAUUUAAAAUGGAGUUGGGAGGGCAGAGGGGGAGCUCUCAUGCCCUACAAAGAUAGCAGAGCCCAAAAGGAAGAAGAAAGACUUCUUCUUGCCCAAGAGCUCAGCCAAUAGAUAUAGUCGCAACUCAGCCAAUGAAAAGCCACUAUAUUCAAACUCUCAAUCCCUCCAAUGGACUAUUUGUUUACAAUAGCCUUCCCAACUUCCCCUUCCCCUCUAUAAAAGAGUUUCCCCUCCCCUUGUUGCUCAGAACUUGUAGGUGGCUUGCCAUGGUUGCAGAUCCUGAAUCACAAUUCUCUGUUGAUCCCCAAAAAACCCAUUUUUGCUGGAGAAAUAAUUGGUUGUCUAUUUGUUUAAGGUCAACACACUUAUGAUUUUUAUUAGAAGACCUGGCUGGAUGAAGAAAUGACAUCUGUGACACCAGCAAUAAGUCAAGUCUUGCAGCGUGCCCCACUAUCUCAGUUCUUUGUAUCAAGAGAGGACAGAGAAGAAAAGCUGGUGAGAGAAUCUGCUCUAUCAUCAGAGUUUGCCGUCUUUGGUGGAGAGAAGGCUUACUAGAUGUGAAGAGGAAGGAAGACUCAAUCAGG